GUGAGGAAUAUUGGUCAAUGGGCGAGAGCCUGAACCAGCCAAAUCGCGUGAAGGAAGGCGGUACUAAGUAUUGUAAACUUCUUUUAAUGGGGAGUAAAGAGGGGCACGAGUGCUCCGUUGCAAGUACCCAUUGAAUAAGGAUCGGCUAACUCCGUGCCAGCAGCCGCGGUAAUACGGAGGAUCCGAGCGUUAUCCGGAUUUAUGGGGUUUAAAGGGUGCGUAGGCGGGUUGUCAAGUCAGCGGUGAAACGUUACAGCUUAACUGUGACCGUGCCGUUGAAACUGUUAUUCUGGAGUGCGAGCGAGGUAGGCGGAAUGUGCCGUGUAGCGGUGAAAUGCAUAGAUAUGGCACAGAACUCCGAUUGCGAAGGCAGCUUACCAGUACGCUACUGACGCUGAGGCACGAAAGCGUGGGUAUCGAACAGGAUUAGAUACCCCAGUAGUCC
rnacentral:rRNA from 1 species